UGGCUCAGAACGAACGCUGGCGGCGUGCCUAAUACAUGCAAGUCGAGCGGACAGAAGGGAGCUUGCUCCCGGAUGUUAGCGGCGGACGGGUGAGUAACACGUGGGUAACCUGCCUGUAAGACUGGGAUAACUCCGGGAAACCGGAGCUAAUACCGGAUAGUUCCUUGAACCGCAUGGUUCAAGGAUGAAAGACGGUUUCGGCUGUCACUUACAGAUGGACCCGCGGCGCAUUAGCUAGUUGGUGAGGUAACGGCUCACCAAGGCGACGAUGCGUAGCCGACCUGAGAGGGUGAUCGGCCACACUGGGACUGAGACACGGCCCAGACUCCUACGGGAGGCAGCAGUAGGGAAUCUUCCGCAAUGGACGAAAGUCUGACGGAGCAACGCCGCGUGAGUGAUGAAGGUUUUCGGAUCGUAAAGCUCUGUUGUUAGGGAAGAACAAGUGCAAGAGUAACUGCUUGCACCUUGACGGUACCUAACCAGAAAGCCACGGCUAACUACGUGCCAGCAGCCGCGGUAAUACGUAGGUGGCAAGCGUUGUCCGGAAUUAUUGGGCGUAAAGGGCUCGCAGGCGGUUUCUUAAGUCUGAUGUGAAAGCCCCCGGCUCAACCGGGGAGGGUCAUUGGAAACUGGGAAACUUGAGUGCAGAAGAGGAGAGUGGAAUUCCACGUGUAGCGGUGAAAUGCGUAGAGAUGUGGAGGAACACCAGUGGGGAAGGCGACUCUCUGGUCUGUAACUGACGCUGAGGAGCGAAAGCGUGGGGAGCGAACAGGAUUAGAUACCCUGGUAGUCCGCGCCGUAAACGAUGAGUGGUAAGUGUUAGGGGGUUUCCGCCCCUUA
rnacentral:rRNA from 1 species